UGGGGAAGUCCCCACCAUUUUGCCAGUGAUAUGUCUGUUCUGUUCGCGACAUCAACGUCAGUGAGAAGACCCCACGUAUUGGUGGAAAUGACAAAAAGUUUUAUCGCUUCAAGACCAGUCUGGAGGAUUCCAACGAUGCUGAUUAACCAUAUCCUUCUGACAAUAUUCUUAAUCCUCGGGAGCUCAACGCUUUUGAAGGAUUCAUUUCUGGAAGAUAAUGCCAAGUGUUUUUACAUACUAUAAAAUUAUCCUCAGGGUCCACAAAAAAAAGCUAAAAUUUCUGUGAUGGCUUGAUAAUAUCCAACAUUCGCAAUGCAGUCAAUUAUGUUGAUGUACUAGCAAUUGACGUCACUUGAGUCGAAACGUCUGGAUAGUACUUGCUUGGUUUCGAUCCACAGAACCUUUUGAAUCCAAUUCACGCUGCUGCCAAAUACCAGGGGAAGAAGAAAUGCAAUGAUGAUUAUGAAUCAGUUUUUGAAACAUUUUCCUGACAUUAAAAACGUCUCAAUAAAAUGGAUAGUUAUGCUAUGUGAACUUGAAACAAUGUUGAAAUAUUCAGUGGCAUUUAAAAUUCAGACAAAUUUAUCAUUUUACUCAGAGUUUUUUAAAUUAUAAAAAAUCAUUGCAAAAAGUGUAUAAAAAAACGAGAUAGACCAAAUCAUAUCAGACGCAUUUGAUUUCAUUUACACCCCGUGACGUCAUUCUUCGGCCUAAGCUGAUGAAACUGCGGGAUUUAUUUCACAAGAAGGCUGGAGAUAUUGCAUCCAUCUUUUUCAUGGACUCUUGAACUCAGAUAGGAUUUAUUAGAACUAUCGAGGAGCAUUUCCCUGAAAUCCUACGACGAGUCUAACAUCAGAGUGUACUUUAUCCCAUUAUUUUUUUAAUCAAGUCUUGAUUUUUUCCACUCCCAAUGUAUGUAAUCAUAUCAGAAAUGAUAACAGGAAGACCCCACAUAUUUUUCAUUCUAUAUAUGUUCUUGUGUCAACAUGGCAAUUCACGUGUAUUGAAUGAUUAACAUUUGACAAAAUAUGGUUCAACAUCGACGUAGCAACGUCGUUUUAUCAUCGCCGAAUUUUAGGGAGAGAGUUACAAUUUUCUGAUCAUCUUUUUUUGUAGAAUAAAACCAGAGCCACAAAAAACGUUUUCAUGAAGUAUUUUCAAGGAUGUAGAGUGCAUGAUGUAACAACCUGAAGCAAUUUUCACUAUUGUAGGUGAUAUAUUCUAAUACGAAUCAAGGAGGAAUCAUAAAAAGACACAAAUUCGAAAGGAUUGAACAGGAAACGUUCCACUGAUCUCGCCAAAAUCUUGGAGAUAUCGCACUCUAUUCGAGGAUUGCGCAUGCUUGAUCCGCACGCAGAGAGACCAAGAGCCAGCUUGUAAGAAGAACAGCUGGGCAUCAAGGUCAUUUAACAUACUCAGCCACACUCAGCUACGUCACUUUUUCCGAUGGUGGGGAAAAGUCAUCGGGUGGGAGAAAUAAUGGAGAAAAAACGGGAAAAUGAGCGAAGCAUCACUUCGGUUAUCGGACGAGCCCUCGCACUUCGACGAAUGAGUGUUAGUUAAAAUAUUAUGAGACUUAUCAUUAAAAAGGUUGGGGUUGGUAUUAUCUUGUCGCGGAUGAGCAGCACGUAGAAACGUUGUAGUGGGGAAUAUUUCGCGACAACAAUUACCGACAUUCACUCGCUUAACGUUUAUUCAUGAAAUUUGCCUAAUUAUUUGGGACGAAUCUACCUUUUGAUUUUUUUAACAUCCGGUUGAAAUUAUUUGCAAAUCGAUACAUAACCCCAAACUGCCAUUACAAAUUUCAACCAAAAUAAUUAUUUGAUUGUUACCCAACCCAAUUACCGCGCUUUGUUUAUUGUUUCUGCACGCUGCUAAUUAUUUUUCAUUCUAAUAAAAUCAUUGUUUCAACCAUGUACUUAUGAUGGCGAUUUGUAAUCACGUGACCCUCUCCAACCGGGCCUUAAAGCUAUUUAUUCACCCCCCCCCCCCAGUUUUACCAAUAUUACAUUAAUUAUUCACUUGCAUGUUUCAUCUAGAAGCAUUUACGUUCAUUUAAGCAGAAUAAUUAGCAGUUCUAGCAAAAUUGACAAUAAACAAGCACACAAAAUUAUCAAUUACAACGUAUUAUUUUAUAUCAUCCCAUAAUGUAUAAAUUUUUGCAUGACGUAAUCCCCAUAAAACAGUCGAUUAUGUCAAAUGAUAGUUAUAAAUGAUUGCCAACUUACUGUAGAGUGUCGCCAAUAUGUGAUAAGUGCGUGAAUGUCAUCGCUCGGUGCAUACAACAGAAAAUCUCGCCAUUCAUUGAAAGUUAUACUCAAACUGCCAUCUCGAUCCAUUCUAGAAUUCCAAUGUAAUUUGAUUCUUAAUUAUCUACAGGAAAUGUUUCGAUCAUCUAUCUUAUACCUUUGUAAUAAUUUUGUUGCUUCAGUUCUGUCCAUUUUUAUCCCCAGAUCCUUGUUAAAGGAACUUAUCAACUCCUCCAGAUCAAUUUUACCUGAAAUAUGAGGUUUUAUAGAUGAGAAAAUACAAAUAGUUGUUUGACAAUAAUCGUGAUAUUUAUGUUAUAACUUUUUUUUUGCAUAUUUGCAUCCACUCUACAAUAAGGGUUAUAAUUAAAAUAGAUCUACCUUCCGUAAAUCCAGAGAUAUUCCCUGAAAAGCCAGCUACGAAUUAAGUUGUCUUACCCUUUCACCGGUUUCGAUUUAAAUUCAACCGUUUUACAACUUCAGUGAUAUUUUGAUAAAUGCUGUGAAUAAUUAAUGGCUAUGGUGCAUGUCUGAUGUACUUCAGAAGUGUCACGAGCUUCUGUUCAGCUAGGCUGAUAAUAUGUUAAACAAGUGACGUAGGCAAUUCUUACCAUCUUUAUUUUUGUCAAGAUGGGUAAACUGCAGACGAAGUUUCUUUUCAUGCUCAAUAACGUAGUGAAUGAAUUCAGCUAGACUUAUAUCGCCGCUUUUGGUGCUGUCAGACUCUUGCAGGAAUUUCUAAAAUAUUACAAUCAUUUUAUUAUUAAUGAAUCCUUAAUGUCAUUGAUUUAUUACAUGUAAAUUUUGAUGAUUAGGACGAGCUGGCUUUGAAUUAGCGAAGGAUUGAAGAAAAUAAAGGCUUAUAAAUUGAGUGAGAUAAAAUCCUGGACUAGAUGCUGUCUUCACUAAUGUCAUCGACAAUUACUCGUCAUCAAUUGGUAGACGUUAGCCUUAGUGAAACCUUACAAAAUAUAGUUUAAAAAUCGUCGGAGACAUAAUAGAAUGGCGAAGGCUGUAAAUGAUCCAAUGGAAUAUCAUUCAAUUAUUAACCUUUUGUUCUGUAAAAUAGGAUGAAAAUCUCCUAUAUUCUGUAAUCUUCAAUGACGGAAUCACGUUUCAACGAAAAUCUUCAAUGAAAUUGGUUUCGUAUAAUUGUAAAUAGAUCUUAAUAUAAUCACAUUGAGAGUAAAUUGUAAAAAUUCUGAAAAACUAGAAAUAAUUUCUCGAAAACUCGUUUAAUUGUAAAAACGAUUAGAUGGAAUAAAUAAAUUGCAAGAAAAUGGUAAAAAAUAAAGACCUACGAGUGAAAGCGUUGGCUAUGACGAAGCCUGAGUGAAAAAUACAGACAAGGUCAAUUUUGUAGGGAUGAGAUUGAGGUCAAAGUAAAUGUAAAUACGUUUAGGCACGUGGGGAAAUAUUUUUCUAAAAUUCUAAAAUUCCAUGAACAAUAUAUUUGAAAAUAUUUUCAGAUGUCCUAGCAUAAAUUAUAUGAUAUAAAAUAAUAAACAAGGAAAAUAUACCUCUGCAUAUCGUUUGUGUACGCCAACUUGAUGAAGAGCCUGUGCCAAAUCAUGUACAUCGAUCCUUCCAUUGCCGUCGAUGUCCAAUUGUUGAAAAAUCUUGGAGAGUCUCUCCUCCGUCUGUGCUGGCAAUUCAUGGAGAUAAUGAGAAGGUAGUACCAUAUGUACAUUGGUCCCACUUCUCGUUGGCAUUGUUGGAUUUUAUAUUUCCAGAAUUAGUCAUGCAAAUUCGCGAUAAAAGACGCCGACCACUUUGCACUGUGAAUACCUUGUGCUGCCUCAAAUAUGCAAUGUUUAAAAUUUCUCAAAUUUCAGUUGAAAAAGGGAAAGAUUGAACCACACACUGAUAAUUAAAUAGCAGAAAAAGCAACGAUUAAUUUAUGAAAUUAACAUGAGCACAGGGGAGGAGGUUAAACACUGGGUUAACACGAAAGAUUCUUGGUGCGCAGCCGACAACGAAGAACGUUCUACGUCCAGUUGAAACGAAUUAGCUGACCAAAUAUGUUGAGAGCUACUACUGGCGUUUGGUACUCUAAUAGAAAAUACCACCGACAAUUAAUUCAGCACAAGUUUCUACAUAGAUUUCGACCGGCUUCAAAGUUCACCUCAUGCGCGUUGUGUCAUUAUUCCCGUGUCAAGUGAUCGUGGAUUACACCGCUGACACGCGUUCUUGGAAGUGGAAUAAAAGAAAGGCUUUUUGGAACAACUGCAUUGUGGCGGCAUCUGUUACUAUUUCAAGUAAACUCAAUGCUGGAAUAUGCUCCAUUUCAAUUAGAAAAUAAUAUUAUUCGCUCUAGGAGCAACUUGGACUAAACUAAGUAAACUAAGUAACUGUUUGUUGAUGGAAAACUUCAUUUUUAAUCUUAAAAAUCAGUGUUGUUGAUAAUCAUCAUAUUUAUUUUAACCCGGCUUUAAGUUUGUUGACUUUUAUAUUUGGACCUUAGUAAACCUCAAUAUAAUUUUUACAAUCUUUAAGUACGUCCUCAAAGGACAAUAAUCCUUCAUUUUUUUAGUAACACAAUGAAAAGUUCUCAUAACUAAUACGUGUAUUCAGAAUUAUUUUAUUGAGUAUAUAAAUAUACAAGUACACUUGUUUGUAAAAUA